rnacentral:lncRNA from 1 species
CUUUCCCAUGAAAAUUCAUUCUGCCCUGCAGCGCAGUUUUAAGGAAUCAUCUCAGCAGCGGGUACAUUUUCAAACAGCAUAUUAGCUUCACAUCUGAAUUACAUGAGUCACCGUGCAUUGGCAUCACAAAAGCCUUAUUCAAGGUAAUGGCUUAUUCAGUGAAACUCUUGAAAUAUAUUCCUUUUUGGUUUUUUUUUCCUUGCUAUACUGUG